rnacentral:rRNA from 1 species
AUGAGUAUAGUCAGCAACAUCCAGCUUGGUCUUCCGGCGUUCCACCAAUUCCUUUUUAGAACACUUGGCAAGUGCAGACGGCUGUGCCGGCUCAACAAACUGAGUCUUGAGAAUUUCAACUUCCUGAUCAUUUACCUUGGCAGGGCUAGGAGCCUCCGGGUUACAAGAAUCGUUGAGGGUUUGUUCAGUAGGCGGGUCAGAGGAAGAUAUAGGAACAUCAUGAGAUGGUUGAGGCGGCGGCUCGUGAGUAGAGGCAUCAGGAGUAGUUGUGCCCAACUCUGGUUCAGUCACAACCGGCUCUUGGGGCGGCUUAUUCUUUUUUGCCCUUUUGCUGGGCUUUACUUGCACACUGUGGAAAAGGUAGACAAGUUAAAUACAGCAAAUAUGAGUAAAAUAAAGCAUAAGGUACAACAAGUUUAUUACCCGGGAGCAGUUUUGAAGGCUGGCAUGUUGGACUGCAUAGACUCACAGGAGGAAGGUGAAAUAUCCUGA